GCCAAAAACCUAGCCCAAUAAACACGAAUUAAACUAAAUUAACUCAAUCAUCUUAAUAAACCAUUUUAUGUUUCUAGUAGAGGAGAUCGAAAAAUUUAUUGGAGCUAUAACAGUAGUACCGCAAGGGAAUGAUGAAAUAUUUAAUGAAAACUUAAGCAAUAAAAAGUAAAGAUUACCCCUUGUACCUUUUGCAUCAUGGUUUAACUAGUUUAAUCAAGCAAAACGUAUUUAAGUUUGACUUCCCGAAACUAAGUGAGCUACUUUAGGACAGCUAAAAGAGCGAACCCGUCUCUGUAGCAAAAGAGUGGGAUGAUCCUUAAGUAGGGGUGACAUACCUAACGAACCUAGUGAUAGCUGGUUACUCAAGAAAUGAAUUUAAGUUCAACCUGAAACCCCCCCCCCCCGUACACCCAAACAACCAAGAGUUCUCAGCGUAAUUCAAAUAAGGUACAGCCUAUUUGAAACAGGAUACAACCUAAUCAAGCGGAUAAGAUCAGCUUAUAAACAAUCAAGUAGGCCUAAAAGCAGCCAUCUUCAAUAAUCGCGUCAAAGCUGAAUUGUUAAUACGCUCAAUCACAUAACUACUAUCUUAUUCCCUCACCCUUAUUGAGUAAUUCUAUAUUACUAUAGAAAUUUUUAUGUUAAAACUAGUAACAAGAAGAAGACCUUCUCUUAAAUGUAAACAUAAAUCAGAAAAGACAAACUACUGAUAGUUAUACCUCCUUAAGCCUGAGUAGCAACCAUUUAAAAACCCUACUCUCAUUUCUGUUAACCUAACACAAGAACAUUUCAAGAAAGAUUAAAAGAAAGAGAAGGAACUCGGCAAAUAUUAGCCCCGCCUGUUUACCAAAAACAUCGCCUCUUGAGCCCUAUAAGAGGUCCAGCCUGCCCAGUGACUCUGUUCAACGGCCGCGGUAUCCUAACCGUGCGAAGGUAGCGUAAUCACUUGUUCCCUAAAUAGAAACUAGUAUGAAUGGCACCACGAGGGCUAUACUGUCUCCUCUCUCCAAUCAGUGAAAUUAAUAUCCCCGUGAAGAAGCGGGGAUGAAAAUAUAAGACGAGAAGACCCUGUGGAGCUUUAAACAAUAUAGAAUCUGUUACACUACACUUAAACCCUCUGCGUCUUUACCUCUCCUGACAGAAUUACUAUGCGUUUUCGGUUGGGGUGACCAUGGAACAUAAUAUAACCUCCAUGUUGAAUUUCUCAAGCUAAGAGCUUCUCUUCUAAGCAUCUUCACAAUGACAUCCAUUGACCCAAUAUAUUUGAACAACGAACCAAGUUACCCCAGGGAUAACAGCGCAAUCCACUUCAAAAGCUCCUAUCGACAAGUGGGUUUACGACCUCGAUGUUGGAUCAGGGCUUCCCAGUGGCGCAGCCGCUACUAAAGGUUCGUUUGUUCAACGAUUAAAACCCUACGUGAUCU
rnacentral:rRNA from 1 species